GAUCCAGCUGAAACCUAGACUUUCUGCUUACCUGGUCUAACUGUUUUCUUUUUUCCUGUAAUUUCUGAUUCCCAGGCUAAUUGUGAUAAUGAUGAUGAUGACGUGUAUUCCUUCUGCUGAGAAAAGUUUGGUUGAUAAGGCAUUUCUCAUCCCAGCCUGUAAAGAAUCUGUGAAGCAGGGCCAUUGGACAUCUUAACAAGUGCCAUGGAGGCCCAUCACAUCCUCUGCGGUGUCUGAAGUUUGCAGACUUGUUCCCUCCGCAGCAAACAGGCAGAAAUCAAGCACCACAAAUGUCGGGGGAAGCAGAAGUCUUUUCCAGUGACACUGAAGGGUCUCUGACAUGCAGUAAAGUACUGCUGCGGAAAGCCAAAAGGAGAGCCAGAGAUCCUGAGAGAAGUGCCUUUGGUUUGGGUUAAGUUCUCAGUGC
rnacentral:lncRNA from 1 species